CGGAGAGAAGGGCACGGACAGUAACUUGAAAUCAGAAUCAGAAAAAUCCCAAUGAAACAAGAAGCAGAUACAGCUUCAGUGGGAUUGUUGAAAGAUGCAUGGAAAAGUGGGAAGGUCCUGACCAGCUAUUUCCCCCAGCAUGGGAGAAUAUGAACCUACAGCACACUGUUUAGUACACAUCACAUCUAACUGGUUACAAUUCCAUCCCCGAUCUUAACAUUAAAAGGAGUCCUGGGGAAGCUUGUGAUACAGCUGGUGAUUGAGCAGCACUAAUGUAAGAAAAGCAAAAGUCCACUCUGGCUCUUUUUUUCCUGCAAGGCGGGUUCCAUUUCCUGGGUAUUGUGACUAUGGCGGCAAUGAACAUGGAUGCACAAGUAUCUCUGUGGUAUGCUGACUUGGAGUUCCAUGGGCAUGUACCCAAGAAUGACUUGAUUAGUUGGGGCUGGAGAGAUGGCUCAGCAGUUAAGAGCACUGGU